GGGCGCAAGCCUGAUGCAGCCAUGCCGCGUGUAUGAAGAAGGCCUUCGGGUUGUAAAGUACUUUCAGUCGUGAGGAAGGCGGCGUCGUUAAUAGCGGCGUUGUUUGACGUUAGCGACAGAAGAAGCACCGGCUAACUCCGUGCCAGCAGCCGCGGUAAUACGGAGGGUGCGAGCGUUAAUCGGAAUUACUGGGCGUAAAGCGCAUGCAGGUGGUUUGUUAAGUCAGAUGUGAAAGCCCGGGGCUCAACCUCGGAAUAGCAUUUGAAACUGGCAGACUAGAGUACUGUAGAGGGGGGUAGAAUUUCAGGUGUAGCGGUGAAAUGCGUAGAGAUCUGAAGGAAUACCGGUGGCGAAGGCGGCCCCCUGGACAGAUACUGACACUCAGAUGCGAAAGCGUGGGGAGCAAACAGGAUUAGAUACCCUGGUAGUCCACGCCGUAAACGAUGUCUACUUGGAGGUUGUGGCCUUGAGCCGUGGCUUUCGGAGCUAACGCGUUAAGUAGACCGCCUGG
rnacentral:rRNA from 1 species